rnacentral:tRNA from 1 species
AUGCUUGUAGCUUAAAGGAUAAAGCAUUAGACUACGAAUCUAAAGAUUGGAAGUUCGAAUCUUUCCAAGCAUG